rnacentral:rRNA from 1 species
UGGGGAAUAUUGCACAAUGGGCGCAAGCCUGAUGCAGCCAUGCCGCGUGUGUGAAGAAGGCCUUCGGGUUGUAAAGCACUUUCAGCGAGGAGGAAGGUGGUGAACUUAAUACGUUCAUCAAUUGACGUUACUCGCAGAAGAAGCACCGGCUAACUCCGUGCCAGCAGCCGCGGUAAUACGGAGGGUGCAAGCGUUAAUCGGAAUUACUGGGCGUAAAGCGCACGCAGGCGGUUUGUUAAGUCAGAUGUGAAAUCCCCGGGCUCAACCUGGGAACUGCAUUUGAAACUGGCAAGCUAGAGUCUCGUAGAGGGGGGUAGAAUUCCAGGUGUAGCGGUGAAAUGCGUAGAGAUCUGGAGGAAUACCGGUGGCGAAGGCGGCCCCCUGGACGAAGACUGACGCUCAGGUGCGAAAGCGUGGGGAGCAAACAGAUUAGAUACCCUGGUAGUCCACGCUGUAAAACGAUGUCGAUUUUGGAGGUUGUGCCCUUGAGGCGUGGNUUCCGGAGCUAACGNGUUAAAUCGACCGCC